rnacentral:rRNA from 1 species
UACGGAGGAUGCGAGCGUUAUCCGGAUUUAUUGGGUUUAAAGGGAGCGCAGGCGGGCGUUUAAGUCAGCGGUGAAAUCCGGGAGCUCAACUCUCGAACUGCCGUUGAAACUGAAUGCCUUGAGUGGUUAUGAAGCUGGCGGAAUGCGACAAGUAGCGGUGAAAUGCAUAGAUAUGUCGCAGAACACCAAUUGCGAAGGCAGCUGGCUAAUAACUUACUGACGCUGAGGCUCGAAAGCGCGGGUAGCGAACAGG